GACUAUUUAGUAUAUCUAGUAUGUCUAAUUUCCAAUUAGAAGGUCUAACUAUAGAAUAGUCA
rnacentral:tRNA from 1 species